AUGAAAAGCUAUUUUUUCAAAUUUCUCAACAUUUUUAGAAACACAAAUAUUUUGUCAAAUGUCCAAACAUGCCCCAGCGGCGAAUUUUCCGCACGUGGCAGCACUACGCACGCACACACCUCCAUGUCUAGCCCAGGACCCAAACCAAAUAGUCCCAGAAAUGUUGACACGUCACCAGCCUCCCUCCACCCUACCACGCCCUCUCUCGUCUCCCUCACGCUGUCUCGCAAUCGUUCCUCUCCACCCACUGUCAUCAUCAAGAAAAAAAGAAUCGUUCCUCUCCACCUCCCUGACGCGUCGCACCGGCGGCCGACGCGGCAUCGGCGGCGGAGAAGGUGCUGUUAG
rnacentral:rRNA from 1 species